GGGGGAUGCCUUGGGUUUCAGAGGCGAUGAAGGACGUGACCAGCUGCGAUAAGCUACGGGGAGCUGCUGAUAAGCUUUGAUCCGUAGAUUUCCGAAUGGGGCAACCCGUCCGUAUGGACACAUAGGAGCGAACCUGCUGAACUGAAACAUCUAAGUAAGCAGAGGAAAAGAAAACAAUAGUGAUUUCCAGAGUAGUGGCGAGCGAAAUGGAAACAGCCCAAACCAUGUAUGUUACGGCAUAUAUGGGGUUGUAGGACUACAAUAUGAUUAUAAAAACGAAGUUGAAUAUUUCUGGAAAGUUAAACCAUAGAGGGUGAUAGUCCCGUAAAUGUAAGUUUUUAUAUGAUAGUAGUAUCCUGAGUACCGCGAAGCAGGUGAAACUUUGUGGGAAUCUGCCGGCACCAUCCGGUAAGGCUAAAUACUCCUGAAACACCGAUAGCGAACUAGUACCGUGAGGGAAAGGUGAAAAGAAUCCUGAAUAAGGAAGUAAAAAGAACCUGAAACCAUACGCUUACAAGCGGUCGGAGUCUCUUUAUGAGAUGACGGCGUGCCUUUUGCAUAAUGAGCCUACGAGUUACACCUUACUAGCAAGUUUAAGGCCUUCAGGGCUGUAGGCGAAGCGAAAGCGAGUCUGAAUAGGGCGAGAGCUAGUAGGGGUAGACGCGAAACCCGGUGAUCUAUCCAUGGGCAGGUUGAAGGUUGGAUAGUCUCCAACUGGAGGACCGAACCGGUACAUGUUGAAAAAUGUUCGGAUGACCUGUGGAUAGGGGUGAAAGGCCAAUCAAACUCGGAGAUAGCUGGUUCUCCGCGAAAUCUAUUUAGGUAGAGCGUCUCGUAUUACCUUCGGGGGUAGAGCACUGGAUGGGCUAGGGGGUCCCAACGACUUACCAAACCUAACCAAACUCCGAAUACCGAAGAGUAGAGCGAGGCAGACACACUGCGGGUGCUAAGGUCCGUAGUGGAGAGGGAAACAGCCCUGACCGCCAGCUAAGGUCCCUAAGUUAUCACUAAGUGGGAAACGAUGUGGGAAUGCUUAGACAACCAGGAGGUUGGCUUAGAAGCAGCCAUCCUUUAAAGAUAGCGUAACAGCUCACUGGUCUAAACAAGUUGUCCUGCGGCGAAGAUGUAACGGGGCUCAAGCCAUGAGCCGAAGCUGAGGAUGCACAUAGUGCAUGGUAGCGGAGCGUAGUGUG
rnacentral:rRNA from 1 species